rnacentral:rRNA from 1 species
GCUGGCGGCGUGCCUAAUACAUGCAAGUCGAGCGAACAGACGAGGAGCUUGCUCCUCUGACGUUAGCGGCGGACGGGUGAGUAACACGUGGAUAACCUACCUAUAAGACUGGGAUAACUUCGGGAAACCGGAGCUAAUACCGGAUAAUAUAUUGAACCGCAUGGUUCAAUAGUGAAAGACGGUUUUGCUGUCACUUAUAGAUGGAUCCGCGCCGCAUUAGCUAGUUGGUAAGGUAACGGCUUACCAAGGCAACGAUGCGUAGCCGACCUGAGAGGGUGAUCGGCCACACUGGAACUGAGACACGGUCCAGACUCCUACGGGAGGCAGCAGUAGGGAAUCUUCNNCNAUGGGCGAAAGCCUGACGGAGCAACGCCGCGUGAGUGAUGAAGGUCUUCGGAUCAUAAAACUCUGUUAUUAGGGAAGAACAAAUGUGUAAGUAACUAUGCACG